GGGGGCUUAUAAUAAGGAGCAGCUCGUUAGUGCCUUUGUGAGCGAGUGGGAAGGAUCUUUGGUGAUUGGAGAGUUUAGUGUUCAUUCGUUGGUACAGAAAAUCGCAGAGUAGUUCUCUCCUCAUGCAUUUUAUUAACUUCAUUGAAGAAUGCCAGAUGGGAUUUUGAUUUAAAAUCUUGCACAUAGGUAUGAGUCAUUCACAUUGGGAAAUAUGUGUCAGACUCUACAGGAGACAAGGCAGUACCACUCACUGUAAAUGAUUCACAUUUACAGCCAGGCGUCCAUAAUCUCCAAAGCUGUUAAUUACUUUUAAAGAAGGCAAAGGUCUGUUUCAGUCUUCUUUCCCUACAUUGAGAGGAACACACCCAAGAAGUGACAUUGAGAGGAGUUGUCGUCCAAGUCUUCCUGGCAGAAACCAUAAAGAUGAUGAGCCUUGUACUGCUCACCCUGCCCUGUUUCUUUGCCAGUGUCUCCGGAAAUCUUCUUCCAACUUUCUGUUCCAACAUGAGUGUCAUAAUAUUACAGGAGGAUCUGCGUAUAGGCGAAUAUGCUUUCACGAUUUGUGCGACAGAUGUGGAUAGUACCGAUUUAACAUACUCAAUUAUUGGAGAUAAUUCAUAUUACUUUGAGGUCAAUCAAAAGACAGGAGAUGUAAAAGUGAAGUCUUCCCUGGACA